rnacentral:lncRNA from 1 species
AUGCCCAGCCUCCCCACAGCUGCAUGUUCUGAGGGGACACGUUCCGUUUUCAGUUCAGGUGGUGUAAUGGUGGUUUGGACUUACAGAAGUGAAUCUAUCUUCACAGCACUGAGUAAGGCACCUGGGACAACUGUCUGUCCAGCUCUUCAUACGAUGCAGCCUCAUCAAGCAGACACUUGUGUGCAUAAAGUGACUGCAUUGGAUUGCCUGCUUUCUAUACCUGAAUACCUCUUUACCUCAUAUACACCAAGCAUUUUAAGAGCAAGUUCAUAUAAAACUAGAUGUCCUCAGGAAAAGAGAUCUUUUGAAAGACUGAAAGAUGAGGCCUUGCAGAGCACGUUUUGUAUGUAA